rnacentral:lncRNA from 1 species
GAGUACCCAAUGGAACGAAUGAGGAUGUAACUUUUAUUACAUAGUAUAAGGAGUAAUGUUAUCCAACACUACUCGUAUCAAGUAUCAGUAUAGGUGGCAACUUCAUGACAUUAAAUGAUAAAUUCACUUAAAUGUAGUGUUAUAUGAUUCAAGAACUUAUCAAGCGAGGCCACCUAAACUCGGCCCAAAAUAGGACUAGCCAUUUCAGCUCAUGACAUUUGCAAUCGGGGGUAUCAGAAUAAUGAUCUUGGAUGAUUUAGGUGGUUGGGACUGAAUCUUGUUUGCGACAAUAAUGAGUUUGUGAACGGUACAAUUACAAGAGCGGUGGAUCAAAACUAAGGUAAUAUAAUAUGAUUCAAAUGACCAAAUGAGAGUUCUUAAUGGAGAAAAGUAGGUGAAGCACUAUAACUUUUCAUGUAGUGCGGAAAAGACUUCUCAAAUUACAAAGGAAGAAAGGUAGGUUUAAUUACAUUUCAUAUUGGUACUCAAACUUUUAUUUUUUCCUAAUUCAUACCCAGAACUUCCUAUUGUAUUUCUCAUUCGUUGCUAAAACCCAACCUGAUCCCCUCAUAACUCAAUCUUCGUCCCCAAGAUCUAUAAACCGUUAGGGUGUUAUAUAUUCAAUUAAAAAUAACGCCAUCAAUUGUUAUAUAGGAUGGAGAUAGUAUAGUUUGGUGGUUCCAAAUCUAUAAACUUGGUGGAUAUUUGCCUUCCAAUUAGGAAUUGACGCUAUCCGUUGUCAAGCAAAAUAUAGCGAGAGAUGUUAGCUACUAAUGAAUGAGAAAUUUGAGUAUAAAAUUAGGAUAAAAAUAAAAGCUUGCAUAUAUUUUAAUAAAAAUCACGAUUGAAAGUUCAAGAAUUCUACCAUUUAAAUGCUUUAGAUCUUUUUAUAACAGAUGGCAAGUUGUGAAAUAAAUGAAUCAAUAAUUUGCAUAGAAGACAGCUUGACGCCUUGACCCUUCAGAAUCUAGUCUUGGAAUAAAUAAUAGGAAAAAUUGCACCAUUGGACUACAACUUAUUGGCUUUGUUGUACUUUUGUGCCUAAAGUAUGUUUCUUGGCAUCAUAAUACAUGAAUUUUACUUUUAAGUAAGAUAUUAGUCUCUGAUUUUACCUUUUCAUCGAAAGAUCUCUCAGUGAAGGUUAUAGUUGUCCGAUCCCAAUAUUCGUAUUUCGAAUGACAAAAAGAAAAGGGGAAAAUUUUUUUGUCUUCUUCCAUAUUGUAAAAUUUUGAUCUUCUUGCAAAAAAUUACAUUCUGUUUUAAAAUCGAAGACCAAAAACAGCACUGUUGGCUAAAAAUUGAAUUUCUUCACAAAUCUUACUUGUUGAUGUUAAGGAGUUGAACGAUUAAACCUCCAAGCAGAUUAAUUGAAAUUUGUGAUUGAAAAUAAAGUUUGAUUAUCUAUAAAUAAUUUAUAAAUUUUGUCACGCAGAAGCUAAAUCCUGCAUCAACAAUUAGUCAGUAUUUUAAAAAUCGAAGCUGUCCAGCCGAUUCAAUUGGAAAAUGGUCCGAUUAAGCUUAUAAAAGUUCUAAUUAAAAAUCUGUACGAAAACUUGUUAAACCAGUAAUUUUUUGAAAAACUCGUGAUAUGUUCUCGAUUUAACUGAUUUAAACUAUGUAAAUGUAUAAAUAUAUUUUCAAUUUUUUGUAAAUAUAUAUUUUUUAAUUUUUUAAAAAUCACCAAUUCGACAUUUUGACAAUUACUCCUUUUUCUUUUUGGAGUAUAUGGCCAUUGCAAUUAGUCCAUCAUUUGCAAAUUGCUUAAGUAGUGCAUUAAUUAGAUAUUGUUAAGAUGUACAAAUUGACAUUAUAGAUUUUAUCUAGCAAAUGUUAUAAUUGAUAAUUCAUUUAUAAAUUGUCGAUUUGAAUAACAUUCGAUGACAAUUGUAGUGUAUAGAAAUCUGUCUAUCAUUGAAGACAAGCGAAUGAAAUUCCUAUGGUGGUACUGAUAACGAAUACAAUCGUUGAUUAAUGAUGGUGGGUUGGCAAUGAUAAAUUUUGGGAAGAAGAUACUUCCUAUUUCUGUUUUAUAUUUAUUCUUCUUUUAAAUAUUUUAACUUAGAAUGAGAGUUUUCGUGACUUUUUAACAUUCAAAUGACGGAAUAAGUUACCGAGGACCAAUGAUGCAACAAAACUUAAAGACUUGGGGUCAUGCUGAAGAAAUAAAUAUUGAGGACCAAAUAGCAAAGAAUCACAUAUAUUGGGGACUAGUAGGGAAAUUGUUCCUAAACAAUAUAUCAGGACUCUCCCGCACACAACCCUUGGGGUACUUUUAAGUUUGACUAAGUCAAAGGACCUAAAUUCCAUUUUGACUUUUAAAAUCAUGAAUAUUAUGACAUUGGCAUCUUGUAUGGUAAAAGACAAAGAUGCCCUUAAAUAUUUUGUACAAUUACAAAAUAAUAUAUUGUUGAAAGGACUAUACUACCCUUUUAGUUAAUAAUUGAAAAUCAAACACUUCUCCACUUAUAAAAACUUCAAAACGAGCUUCCAACACAGAAAAACUCUCAUCUUUUCAUCUGCUUGAACCUCAAAAUCUAGAAAAACUUUGAAACGUUAAAACCGGAAAUUUUUUUCAUAUCAAUUACUUCAAAUCGGUAAGUACACUUACGCAUGUUUAAUUUCGUUUUUAGUAAAUUAGUAUACAUUUGAAUAGAGAAAUUUUAUUUCGACAUAGUAGUUAGCAUAAAUUUUUUUUAACAGAUCUUACCAAUAAAGAAAAAAAUUGAACAGAUGUAUAAUAUUUUUCUUUAGAACCAUAUUCUCCUGCGCAAAAACAGCCAAAGAAUCGGCUGUUUUGGCUGUUAACAGCCAAACAGUCGGCUGUUAAACAGCCAAUUAACCGACUCUGCACUGAUUUUUGUUAGCACUGUUUUUUUCUUAUAAUUAAUAAAUGAAGUUGAUUAAAUUCAUUUCCUCAUGCAGAUAUGAUAAUCCCCGUCUGUUAUUUCGGUGAUUUCGAAUUGAAUGAAAAUAAUCGGUGGGAAUGGAAAUGGACGAGUGACAUACGUGGUUGUAUUGCAAUUCCUAUAACAGAGAGUACACCAUACUUAGAAAUGUACCACGAUUUGCAUAAUAAACUGAAUGUUGAUCAAUCUCAAUACGAUAUGCAAUUGAGAUAUCUAUUCAAUGGUUAUGGGGAUUCAUCCAUUCCGAUGCCACCGGUAUUCUUUACUAAUGAUGCUGAAUUGAAUUAUCUAUUAGAAUUGAAUAAAAUGCAUCGGACUCCGAUUGUUCUUGGUGUGACUUUAAUUACGAAGGAUGUUAUCGAAGGUGAAUGCGAAGAUUCAGAUAGGACGGAUAACAAUGAUCGAGGUUUUUGGGAGACAGUGGAGAUAGUUCCUGUGGAUGAUAUGGUUAUUCUUGAGACAGUUGCUUCUGAUCGUGAUGUCACUGUUACGCACAGAAUUUCGUCGACGGUUGAAGACAAUGAGAAUAUAAACGAGUUUACAAAUAAGAAUUUGAUUGCUUUAUCCUGACACAGACACGAGCGGGGUGGGAGCUCAUAGGUUGGAACAAGUGGACCGUCCUCCAAUUCUUCCCGUGUGGCUCCCGAUGAUGAUGACUUGCAGGUCGAGCAACUGUUUGAAACCAAGAAAGAUUUACAGAAAGCUGUGCACCGGCUGACAUUAAAAUAUGACUUUGAGUUCAAGGUAAAGAAAUCAAACAAGUCAUUGUUGAUAGUUGCCUACGUCGAAGACAGUUACAAUUGGCGCUUGAAAGCAACUAAGAUGGACACGAAUGAGUGCUUUGUAAUUCGCAAGUAUUCACGGGAACAUAUUUGCGAAGUGGGAAUUCUUCGAAACGAUCACAGGCAAGCUCGAGUAUGGUUUAUUGGUCGACAGAUAAUGCACAAGUAUCAAGAUCCACGGACGAUCUACAGACCUUCGGACAUCAUUAACGACGUUCGUCCAGAGUACGGAGUGGUCAUGAGCUACCAGAAAGCGUGGAAGACCAAAGAAUGUAUGUCGGAGGAUUUAAUGGGAUCGGCUGAAGAGAACUAUGCUAAAUUGGUUAGGUAUUGCCAUAACAUGGGGACAACUAAUCCUGACACGACAUUUUUUAUUGAGACGGGGGGCGAUAAUUUUUUUAAGUAUUUCUUCAUGGCUCUCGGACAAUAUAUUCGGGGUUUUCGAAAUGCAAUGCGACCUGUAAUUCUAGUUCAUGGUACAACUCUGAAAGCUAAAUAUCAAGGGAAAUUAAUUAUUGCUACAUGUCAAGAUACUAACAUCCAAAUUUACCCUAUUGCAUUCGGCAUAGUUGACAGCGAGAAUGAUCUAUCCAUGCGUUGCUUCUUUUCUAAACUGAGGAAAGUGAUCGGGGAAGUCGAAGACCUUGCCUUUGUAACCGAUCGGGAACAAUCUAUAAUAAAUGGUAUCGCUGAACUUUUUCUCAGGGCACAUCACGAGUAUUGCAUAUACCAUAUACAAGGUAAUUUGAAGAUUAGAUAUUAGGGCACAGGCAUCGUUUCAUUGUUCAGGAGAGCAACCGAAGCUUACAGUGCUGAAAAGUGUAAUAAGUUCAUGCUCGAGAUAGGAAGUAAAUCAUUACCGGUGUUGGAGUAUCUGACGAAGAUGGGGAUCGAACAUUGGGCGCGGUCUUACUUUCUAGGACGUCGAUACAACAUGAUGACGUUGAAUAACGCGAAGUCUCUCAAUGCAUUGUUUAAGAAGGGUCAAGAGUUACCAAUUCUCGCAAUGAUUGAGAACAUUCGUAACAAGCUACAACAGUGGUUUUAUGACCGACGUGCGGCAUCACAGAGUUGCAGUAGCGUGUUGGCCCCAGCUCAAGAGGAGAAACUGUUUAAGGCAGCAGAGGUUGCGAGGAAGUUGAAUAUGGAAGCACUAGAUGAGUUUCGCUCAUCCGUGCAAUGUGCACGUAAUAGGCAUAUAUGGUGGACUUGACCAAUAACACCUGCAGUUGUAUGAAAUAUCAGUUGGAGAGCUUUCCAUGUGAGCAUGCAGUUACGGUGGUCAUGUAUCGAGGCUUUGCUGCGAGAACGUUAUGCUCUUUGUAUUAUACGACUGAGUGUUGGAGAACAACAUAUGCUGAGACUAUUUCCUCUGUCGAAUGAAGCCGAGUGGGAAGUUCCCGAGCACAUUCUCCCAUUUCAUAAUUUGUUGCCACCAGCAAUUGAACUACGUGGUCCUGGACGUCCAAGUACAUCUAGAAUAUCAUCUACCGGAGAGUUUUCUCAACCACGUAGGUAUGGCAGGUGCAAAGCCGUAAGGCAUACUCGACAAUUUUGUAUUAGUCAAAUUUCCCUAAAUGACGAUUAGACAGGUACGUUAAAUGAAUAAUAUUUUCUUUUACUUUACACUGUUCAAUAUUUGUUUUUUUAUAAAUCUUCAAUGUUCAAUAUUUAUUCUUGAUAAAUGGUAUUUAUAAUGAUUCAUAUGAAAAAAUAGUUCCAUACUCGGCCUACGUGUAAAAUAACAAAACAAAAAAUAUAAUUAAAUUUCCAAUGUGAAUGUUAUAUACAUUGAACACAAAUUUACAAUUAUUUCAUAAUCACAAAAAAUAAUCAAAUUUACAAUUGAAAUGUUACAUAUAUUUAAUACAAAUUUAAGGGUCAGCAUUAAAUUUGAACAAAUCACAUGCUAGCUUCUUUCUCCAGUUCUGUAUUCACGACUGGUUGAUUCCAUCAACCUUAUGUCCUAUACUUAAAAAUUUGACAUACUUAAUGGCAAACAUACCGCAGUCGCCGCUGCAAUUGAACAAGAAUGAAUCAAUUCAGUACUGUGUAAGUAAAAACUAAAUCUGAAAGAUAAAAACAACAAAUUUCAAACACUUACCUUACGGACUGUCGCGCUGUCGUCGUGUUUCGAACAAUCCGCAAUCUGUCCUAUACAUUUAUCUCCGCUCGUUCAGCCAUCAUAGGAACAAUUAUAGCCACAGACUCCAGGUUUUUGCUCCAAACAUGAAUGAUCUGGGUCGUACACAUAUAUAGUCGAGUCAGCAAAAACGAUCUCCAGCGUAAUAUAGUGUUUAUUGAUGCAUGCUGGAAUGUACAUAUGUGUACAACCCUCCCAUGAAUUUUUCCCGACACUUGGUGACAGUCCUAUCACUCACUCGAGCAUAUAUUCUGGCACCGUGUACUCAUUACCCAUAAGUUCGAGCGACUGAUACUCUAUGGUAACGACACGCAAGAACUUGGUGUUUAAUAUGACCCGACCAUGGACAUCAAAUGAUUUUGAAUGUCUUUGAGCUCGAUUUUGCAGCGAGUCCAUGGCCAGGUCGAUGUGCUGCAGCAAGAAAUACCAAAAAAGUAUGAGUUAUUCAUUUAAUAAACACAAAGUGACGUAUACAUAAAAUACACGAAAUGAAUAGUUCACUUACAUCGUCGGUGAGCCAAGCUCCUGCAGUGAUGAUAUCGUGGAACCACUUGUAAGGGUCCGAAACUGUCCUUUGACCUAUCGUGCGGCUAACUCUGUAAAAAAUAGGAAAAUGUUAAAAUAAGCAUAGACGAGUUAGCGUACAGUACGUUAUUAAAAUAAUACAAUACUUACCCGGGGAUACUUCUUCGCCACUCUGUCUCGAACGCUUUUCACUUGGCAUUGUCCACCUCCCUGAAAAAGUUCGGGUGCGUCCCAUCGAUGAACGUCCUCCUCUUGACCUCAGCCGUGAAGGGAAAAACAACAUGCUGUGACGACACUCUCAACCUCUUGCCGAUCACCUGCUCCAUCUCGUCAACAGCAUGUCUCUUACCCUCAAUCACACAGGGCGUCCUCUCGACCUCUGGGGCCACCUCCUCCGCACCUCCCAUCGGGGCCUCCCCCUCCGCCGCCGCCACCUCCGUCCCUCCCGUCGUGGCAUCCCCCUCUGUCACCACUUCCUCCGCCCCUCCCGUCGGGGCCACCCCCUCCAUAGACAACCACAAUGACUCCAACGUCUUAUCAUGCCAAAAAUGUGGGUGAUCCCCCUCUCCAUCACCAUCUCUGCCACCCUUUCGAUCAUGAUCGACGCCAUCCCCCCUGUCCUCCCAUCGUCUGCCGGCUAAAUCUCCUCUAAACGCUGCUACUAUAUCCUGAAGGUCGACAACAGAAGACUGUAGUAUUCCAACAUCAUGGGAUAGAUCGUCAGCCCUCCCUGUCAACUCUCAUCCCAGAUCAUCGACCCUCUAUAUCAAAUCUCGUCGUAGCGUGCCGACCUCCUCCUCUAUAAAUCCAGUCAAACGGGCAUACAAAUCAUCACUGUGUGCCGGAGACACACGGGGGAGGUGUCUGGACGGAGGUGAUGCCAAUGGCGAAGGCGAUGCCCUCGGCGAAGGUGAUGCCACUGGCGGCAGUGAUGCCCUCGACGGAGGUAAUGCCAAUGGCGGGGACGAUACUCUCGACGGAGGUGAUGCCAAUGGUGGCAGCGAUACCCUCGGCGGAGGUGAUCGUGGAUUGGUUGGACCGCCUUCGUACAUAAAUGACAUUACAAAUUAUUCAAUAUAUUUAUACGUCGACGAUAUUCAAUAAAUUAUAUUUCAUUCACAUACCCAAUCUCGAUCCAAACUCGGAUCAGACAUCUCCUCGUCUGGGGUGUGCAGAAAGCCUAAAUCCCGCACAAGACCCCGAGUCUCCUCUUCCAUCGACGGUGUCAACUCAGGUAUGACUUCAAGCUGACAUAUUGACAUUUCAACUACUUAACGAUCAUGUAAACAAAAUUUUAAACUACGUAUAAUAUAAAUCACAAAUGCAUAAUACUUACCUGAGGAUCGUCGAGGAAGGUCGAUAACUGCUUUCCAGUGGGACAUCCCUCCGCUCACGAUGAUAUCCAAUGAAGCAUCCAAGGGCAGCGUGUCUCUCCUCCCUGCGCAAAGUGAGCCUCCAGUACAGGGACUGUCUCAUACACCCAAAUCUGUAACACAUACACUUAUUAUGUACAAAUGUAAUAUAUUAAAACUUUAAUUUUGAUUAUAUUAAACAUUUACCUGCACCGCUAAGGGCAAUCCAUAUGUAUCGUAUUUACGCAUCGACCCCCUGGGCCUCGAGUGUGCUCUAGAAAAGACAUGUACAGUGUCUUCGUAGCAUCUCCGGCCCCAUGGAUAGUUGUUGAACGCAUCGAUUUCGUCAACAACUUGCAAAUGAAAAAUGUCGAUGGUAGUCUUCUUGUGAUGACACCUCAUCACACUCUCGAGGAUGUAGACCAGCCUAAACUUUAAUCUAUCUAGCAUCUGGUCGCACCCCUUGAUCGCGACCAUCAAGUCGGGUAGAAGCACCGACCCAUAUCCCUGGAAGUACGUCUCAUACAGCCUAUUGUUUCUCUCAAUGGCUGCAUCGUCGUCCGUAAUCCUCAGUCCAGUGAUCAAUGUAAACUCAAAUGUCGAGAAAGAGACGACCUUGCCCCCGAGGUCGAACUGGAGGGAAUCGCCGUCGACUGGCCUCAGAAGUCGACAUAGAAGUGCAUCAACAAUUUGUCUUGAGUACUGCACCUCUCGCAACUGGUACAGUGGCCAUAAGAAGGACUGUCGUAGCAUUUCUCUGUGCUGAUCAUCGAGCAGCUCCAACGCAGUAGUAAAACUCUCAAAACUACUGUUCCAAGUAACCUUCCCCGCCAUCCGUCUCAACUCUCCAUUUAAAUGAUACUCCAUCCUGCAAAAAUUCAAAUGUUAGAGCAUUGAACAAUAGAUAACAAAAGAAAGCAUAAUCUCACAAAGUCAAGGGAACCGAAUUCUAACUACCAUACAAUACGCAUUAAAAUAAAUUAGUUAUAAAGAAAAUUAAUCACAAAUAUUAUAUCUGAAAAAUAUAUUUUAAAAAAAUAAAUUAAAUACAUUUUCAAAAAAAAUUUAAAAAUAUAAAUAUUAUUUAAAUAAAUUCGAAACAAAAUCAAAGGUAAAAGAGCAAUAAAAGGGGAAAAAAAAAGAAUUGUCAAUUUCGGACAACAUUAUCUAUUCAAUUAUUAAAUUAUAUAAAAAAGGCAAUUAUUAAAAUUAAAUAAAUAAAUAAUAUAAUUAUUAUUUUAUCAAAUUAAAAUUAAUUGAUUAUAAAGAAAAUUAAUCUUGUAAUCAUUUGGAAAAUAUAUUUACAAACAAAAAAUUUCAAAUUAAAUACAUUUUAAAAAAAUGUAAAGAAUAUUUAUAAUAUUUAAAUAAAAUUGAAAAAAAUAUUAAAGAUUAUUUCAUAAACAAAAAAAAAAGGAACAACACAAAAUUGUUAAUUAAAGAUAAUAUUCAAUUAUUAAAUUAUAUAAAUAAAAGACAAUUAUAAAAAUUAAAUAAAUAAAUAACAUAAUUACUAAUCAAAUAAAAAAUUAAAUUAGUUACAAAAAUUAUAAAAAACAAAUAAAAAUUAAAUAUAUUUAAAAAAAAAUUAAAUUAUUAACAAUCGCCCCACGACUGUUAACAUCACCGUCUUUCCCAAUUCUGGUCGGAAAUCGUCAUUGUCGACGCCAUAGGUCCAAAAAUUACAAAAUAUAUCACAUUUUUCAUCCCAGCAUGCCCACAAUCUAACACUACUCAUGCUCAUGAUCUAAUUAAACCGAAUAUUCAUCUAAUUAAAUCUAAUAAAUCUAAUAUUAUUCAAUAAAUUUUUAACUGGAACUCUGUGCGAGAAAACUAACCAGUAUUCUUUCCGGUGUAGAUGCGUGGUCGUCGAUUUAGCUCACUAUGACGGUGGUGUAGUUGGCUGGUAGUUGAUCGGAUAAUUUUCAAGCGAUUGUGCGUCCGUUUUCUUCUUUGGUCGAUCGGUUAAAAAAUGAGAUUCAAAUAGUCACUAGCUGAAGGGUAAAUUCGCCCUUUUAGCGUAAAGUUUUUUUAAAUUUAAAUUUUUUUAAUUCAUUUAAUGGGUCAAAGGUCAAUAUCAAAAUUUGCUACAGUCCAAAGUCCGUUUUCGUGUAUUUCCUCCACAACCCUUUGCGUUCCAUUCAAAGACAGCACUCCAUAAAGGAAAGCAAUCAAGCAAUCAAAAGCCAAAUCAACAUUUAAUAUAAAAAAAAAACAACAUUUAAUAUAGCUUCUUGCCCCCCAGGGCACAUCUGAGUUGAUGGAUCAAUCACCUUUGGCGCGCUCGCAACCUCAGCGUGGAGAGUUCGAUUCCUGGUGGGAACCUUUGAUUCAAUAAAGGGGCAAUUUAUUGGUAGAUUAAUCACUAUGGAGAAAAGCUUUCUUGAGGCCAGGAGUUUAGAUCGCGUGGGGACCUGUGAUCCAAUAAGGGCAUAACUUGCGAUUUACCUCCGCUAGUUAUUGAGGGGCCGGUGGCUAGGGGUACAGGAUUUAGUCUGACGAAACUGGGACACCUGGUAUCCAAAAAAAAAAAAAAAAAAAUUUAAUAUAGCUUCUUUUUUAUAAAGGUAAUAUUAAUUCUUUAUCUGGUUCAUUCCAAGAUUCUAUGAAAAGAAUAAGAAAGAAAACCAAGAGAAUUUCAACUCAAGUAAUAUGUUUUUAAGCUUGUUUCUUGUUUAAUUUUGCAAAAAAGUUGUGAUCUUUCUUCGAACGAGUAAAAAGGGAAAUCAAUUUCGGUAAAGUAAACCUAAGUAGAGGAUAAGUAGCUGGAGUACUCUAUUGUUAGAAUAAUUCUUGUUUAUUUUUGCAGAAUGUCAAAAUCUCUUUCAUUUCCAAGAAACGUUGUUUUCACAAGUCAGACUUCAUUUAGUUUACUUGGGAUCUUCUUUUUCCUUUUAGAUCAUUUCUCUGCACCAAGAGAGUUUGCUGUUAUUUCUAUUUAAUGACUCCGUAUUUUAGUUUUGUGGAUCUAAUAUUACUUGUUCAUGGAUUAUAUUAUGUGUGUAUAGCAUUGUGGCCAUGGCAAGGAAGAUGUUGAUUGAUGGGGAGCUGGAAAAGCACAGUGAAGAGGAGACUCGCUAUGACUUUGAUUUGUUUGUGAUUGGUGCUGGCAGUGGCGGAGUUCGUGCUUCACGAUUUUCAGCACAAUAUGGAGCUAAGGUUUAAUUACAGGAAAAGCCCACUCUAAUAAAUAAGUUUCUUGAUUGCAUUGUUGUAUUGUAGUUGAUGUUUCUUAAUCACAUGUGUAGAUGCUGGGUAUAUAUAACCUUGUUUUGCUGAAGAUUCAAAUUAUUAAAUUGGGAAGGAUUAAGAAUCAAAGUAUAUUGUGUAUUAACUGCCUUUGGCGACUCAAGUCCUGUGUAGUUUUUGUCAGGAUUUUGAUUAGUGAAUGAUCUUUAAUGCACGUUUUCCCUUAAAUUUUUUUUUUUUUUUUUUUUAGGGAAUGAGAUCUGAGGUAAUUUGAGUCGGUAAACAACAGAAGGGGUUUAGAUAAUACGUGGGUUAUCUCUGUCUGCCUAACCAUGUUUCACUCUAAAUAUUAUUUAUCAUAUUCCUCAAUGAUGGACGAGAGUCCAAUAAGUAGUGGGUCUUAAUUCAAACUGGUGGAGAAAGAUUUCCACAACCCGUUUGUAUUAUUUUUCGAUUGGCAAGGUUCGGUUUAGAGAUACCCAAAACUGUUUGAGAGUUAUAAAUAGUACUCAAGAACAAUACUUUGGAAAGUGAAGUACAGUUUUGAAGCUAAGUGGUAGCAGGAUUCCAUGAACACUGUUUAUUAGCAAGGUUAAUCAACUCGGUCAUAGGAGCAGAAAUCUAGAAUUGAGGUGGUUCGAGCGAAACCAAAUGAUCAUAAUAGUAAUCCACUUUAUUUAAACAAAGAGGGUUCAUAUAGCCGCCCCAAAUUACAGGGAAUAAAGCUUAGCGCUUGUUUGGGCGCCAUUUAUGGCCAAAAUAAUGCAUUUUUCUGUCACAUCUACUGGGCCCCAGUGUACUUACCUAGUUAACCGGGUUGACUGGAAUGUAUAGAAUAAUUUUUGUUUUUCCUUUUUUACCCCUCUUCUGUUGUUUGUGAUACAUGAUGUUUCAAUUGUACAGCCUGGCAACUGCUGUGUAUGCAACCGAUGGAAGAACGGGCAAAAAUGUAAAUAUUGUGUACAAAAGUCAGAAAUUAUAUGUAACUUGUACUGUCUUUGUCAGAUGAAAUGGGUAUAAAAUAGUUACCAAUGGUCGAAAUUCUUCUACAAAUGGGUUCAAAAUUGGGACCAAACAAGUGCUUAGUUCGUCAUUAUCAUAAUAAGGAGAUUGCAGAAGUAUAUAAAGACUUUAUAACUUAUCCUUUUAUAAAAGGCAUGUUUUUCGAAAAAAAAAGUAUUUACAAAUUUAAUUCCAGGAUCAAUCUAUAUUAGUAAGGUCUCUUAGUAAAAUUCAGAAUGAGUACUAAGAUUUAAGGUCCAAAAUUACGUAAAUCUAAAAAGAUUUUAAAAACUCCCCCGUAAUCUAAAUGAAAUUAACCAAACUUGAGGAGAAUACUCUAAAGUCACAAUUAAUACUUUCAUUUGACCCACUGGACUUCUUGCUUGUGAUAGAACCCACAAUCUAUUUUGAGUUUCUAAAUUUUUCUUAUAUUUGCAUAUCCAGAAUCUAUUGCAUUGGCUAUAUAGUUAGAAAUCUCCCCAUCAUGUAUGAUUGUUUCAUUUCAUCUUUUCAUAGUUAUGUUCGUUCCCUGCCAGGACUUUUCAUGAUUAUUAUUAUUAUUAUUAUUUCUCUGUUGAUGAAGAUGUUUGAAUAUGUUACAAGGUUGGGAUAUGUGAGCUUCCAUUUCAUCCUAUCAGCACUGAAGUGAUUGGAGGAGUUGGCGGAACGUAAGUUGCCUAUUAAUAGUUGUAGAUAUUUCUCAUUUGGCACGAAAACAUCUUCUUUCAGAUGAAUUCGUGAACAUUGAUGUCCUGUUGUUGCAUCAGUUAGGGUGGUUGUAGGGGGUGGCUGUCAUGAGAUAACUUUUCACAAAAACUCAACAUUAUUCUGACAUUCAUAAUUUAACUUGAUACAUGUCAAACAUAUGCAUAUAGAGGAGCUUACUGUGCUUUCAUAGUAAGUUGGUUCAGUAUUGUCUAUGGUUAGACAUUUAAUUGAUGAUGCUUUCCUUUCAUGAAUAUGUAUACUUGAUUUUUACUGGCAAUUUGAAGUAAUGAGAAUGAAGAUGCCACUAAGAAACUAGUUUUUACGUUUUUUUUCAGGUGUGUCAUUCGUGGUUGUGUUCCUAAAAAGAUUUUGGUCUACGGUGCAACCUUUGGAUCUGAAUUGGAGGUGAGAUUAUGACUUAAUAAGACGAAGAGAUGAUAAAGGGUGACAGUUUCUUGAAAAGUCUUUGUUUAAAUUUCGUUCUUUUCUUUGGUACAUUAGCAAGUUAUUUUAGAAAAUGUGCUUCGAAAAGCCUGUUAAAAUUAAUAUUGUUUUCUUUUUAAAUUUGGUAGGAGAUGUAGUUUAUUAGUUGAGGAAAGAAGUUUCAGUAAAAUGUUAUAUUUAGUCAGCACGUUACGUCAGUGCCAAAGGUUUCAUAGAGUAUAUGUAUAUUUCUUAUUGGUGACAUAUGAGAUUCUUUCUUUCUAUUGUUUAUAGAAAUUAAGAAAAAAAUUCUAGGUUUUUCAUUAUUAUGUGACUAAUGAUUUGUAUCAAGUUUGUUAUUUAACGCAGGGAAUGAGAAAUUUCCUUUCAAUUAUUUUCUUACAUGUUUUCACCUUUAUAAUACAAUGAGGUAGAUAAAAAAAGGUAAAUAAUCUCCUAAUUAAAGAAAUAAACUCUUUCCUGUCAAAUUACUAUACAUACUACACUUCCAUCAAGUUGGAUUGUAGAUAUGAUCAUAUCCAACUUGCAGAUGAAAUUGCCGAAAUUUUGUCUGUAUAGUCCUUUAGUGAAUACAUCUGCCGUUUGUUCCUUGGUUGGAAUGUAGGUCAUGCAAAUAGUUCCGUCUUCGACUUUCUCCUUGAUAAAAUGUCUAUUUACCUCUACAUGUUUGGUUCGAUCAUGCUAAACUGGAUUGAGUGAAAUAUUGAUCGCAUCUUUAUUAUCACAGUAGAGUUUGAUCAGGAGUUUCAUUGUAACUUGUAAUUCUUCCAAAAGUUUAUUUCACCAUAGUCCUUCACAUAUUCCUUGAGAUGUUGUUCGAAACUCUGCUUCAGCACUACUUCUGGCUACUACAUUCUGUUUCUUACUUCUCCACGUUACCAAGUUUUCCCAUACAAAGGAACAAUAGCAUGUAGUUGAUCUUCUAUCAUCUAUUGAUCCUGCCCAGUUAGUAUCCGUAAAUAUCUCUGCUCCCCUUUUUUCAGUUUUCUUGAAGGAUAAUCCCUUUCCAGGAGCAUCUUUGAGAUACCUCAGACUCUAUAUAUUGCUUCUAAAUGAGCUUCCUUUGGAGAAUGCAUAUAUUGACUCACCACACUAAUUGCAAAUGCAAUGUCUGGUCUGGCAUGUGAUAGAUAGAUCAAUUUUCCAACUAGUCGUUGAUACUUGUCCUUCUCAAUUGAUUUUCCCAUAUUGUCUGUCUUCCUUCCAGCCUCCAUAGGAGUGUUACUUGGUUUACACCCAAGCAUGCCUGUUUUGGUUAGGAGAUUUAGGAUAUAUUUUCGUUGUGAAACACUGAUAUCUUUCCUUGAUCUAGCCAUUUCCAUUCCUAGAAAAUACUGCAGUUGUCCAAAAUCUUUUACUUCAAAUUCUGUGGCUAGACUUAGUUUUAGUCUCUCUAUCUCGACUGUGCUGUCACCUGUGAGGAUUAUGUCAUCAACAUAUACGAUUAGAAUGGUAUUUGUUCCAUCUUGAAAUAUUCUGAAAAAUAUAGUGUGAUCUGACUGCCCUUGUCGAUAGCCCUAAUUUUUCAACAUAUUUGCAAAUAUGGCAAAUCAUGCUCUUGGUGACUGCUUAAGGCCGUAUAGAGACUUUUUGAGUUUGCACACCUUGUUGUCUUCACCUUUUCUCCGAAAACCUAGUGGUAGAGUCAUGAAGACUUCUUCCUCUAACUCCCCAUUCAAAAAUGCAAUUCUUAAUGUUAAGUUGUUGGAGUGACCAAUCCAAAUUUAUUGCUGAUGAUAAAAGAACUCGGAUUGUAUUUAAUUUUACUACAAAUGCGAAUGUUUCUGUGUAAGAAUAUAUCCCUUUGCAACUAGACGGGCUUUGUACCGUUCUACUAUCCCAUCUGCUUUGUAUUUCACAUUAAAUACCUAUUUGUACUCAACAGGUCUCUUACCUUUUGGUAACUCUACUAUAUCCCAAGUUUCAUUUGCCUCCAACGCUCUCAUUUCUUCCAUCAUUGCAUCUCUCCAUUUCGGGAUUUCCAAUGCUUCUUGGAUAUUUCUUGGGAUUUCUGUACAAUCAAGGUUAGAAACAAAGGUUUGAAAUCUUGGAGAUAAGGUUUCAUAAGCUAUGAAUUUUGAGAUAGGGUGAAGAGUACAUGAUGAAGUUGGCUUCCUGAGAGCGAUAAGUAGGUUUAUGUCAGUUAAGUCAGGAGAGAACUCAUGGGGAUCUGGAGCUAUCACCGGUUCCGACUCUCUUGGUGCUUCGAGCAUGAGGUUUUCCUCCUCUGAUUUCAACCUUCUUGAGUAAACUUUUAUUUCUUUAUUAUAAUGUUUUUUUUUUUUAUCUCCCACUGAAUUCAAGUUGUCCUCUGUAGAUGGCAUAUUAAAGCUGGGUGGUGGUGGUGUUAUAGGAAGAGUAGAAAGAGAGAUUUCCAAGAAUUGAUCUUUACUUGAUUUCAACCCCUGAGGAGAGGAUUUUUGGAAAUAAGGCCUUCCCUCAAGAAAGGUGACGUCAAGGCUAACCAAGUCCCGUUUUUGUGUUUGGAUCAUAACAUUUAUAUCCCUUUCGUGUAGGCGAGUCCAAUGAAUACACACUUGAGUGCACAGGGUUCUAGUUUAUUUUGUUGAUGGGAGUGUAUAUGAACAAAGCUAGUACAUCCAAAUACCUUUAGAGGUAAAUCUGAGUUGAGUCAAGAGUCAGGAAAGCAUUCUCAAAAUUUCUGGAGAGGAGAUUCCAAGUGGGUGGGAAUAGGCAUUCUGUUUAUAAGGUAAGCUGAUGUUAAAAUAGCGUCCCCUAGAACAGUUUAGGUAUAUUUGUAGUGAACAUUAGGGCUCGAACAACUUCAAGAAGAUGUCUAUUUUUUCGUUCAGCAAUUCCAUUUUGUUGGGGAGUAUUGACACAUGAACUUUGAUGGAUUAUCCCAUUUUCUUAAAGAUAGGUUUUAAGGAUAUUGUUGAAAUAUUAUGUGCCGUUGUCCUUGCGCAGAAUUUGAAUUCAUGUUUGAAAUUGAGUUUGUACCAUUGAGUGGAAGCUAAUAAAUAGCGAAUGAACAUUGGAUUUUUCUUUCAACACGUAGACCCAGCAGAUUCGGGUAUGGUCGUCGAUAAACGUGACGAACCAUUUUGUGUAAGUACGAUUGGGAAUUCGUGAAGGUCUCCAUACAUCACUAUGAAUCAUAGUAAAUGGUUUUGACGGUUUAUAUGUAGAUUUUGGGUACGAAGAACGGUGAUAUUUUGCAAGUUCAUACAUUUCACAUCUAAUUUCAAAAUUCAUUUUAUUCGGAAAAAUUGAAGGAAGUAUAUGUCUCAAAUACUGAAAGUUGGGGUGACCCAUUCUAUAACGUCAUAAAAGUAUCUCACUAUCCUUAGGGGUAAAUGCUGAAUCACAACUAGCAAAUUGACGUUGUUUACUCACAUCGACCUCGUCAAAGUAGUAGAGCCCGUCACUCUCUUUAGUACAGCCAAUCGUCUUCCCCGAUUAUGGGUCUUGAAAUACAUAGUAAGAAGGAAAAAAUUAGCAGAGCAAUUAGAUUUUUUAGUUAAUUGGCUAAGGGACAGUAAGUUGCAAGACAGGUUUGGAACAUGGAGAACAUUCUCUAGUUUUAUAGUUUUAGAGAUUUGAGUACUUCCUUUUUCAACUAUUGGGGAAAGAGAGCAUUCUGCAAUUUUUACUUUAAGAUUACCAGCACAUGGUGAGUAUGUAACAAAUAGAUUGUAAGAGUCUGUCAUAUGAUUAGAAGCCCCUGAGUCAAUAAUCCAUGGCACUUCAGUGAGUGCGGUAAAAUUUCGGGCUCCAAAGGAAUUACAUUUGUGGGCCAAUGAACUUGAUUUCUCAGAUGACAUGAUGAAAAUCAGCCCAAAUAAAUUUAAUCCACCAAGAAGAAAAAUACAACAACCCAAAGUAACUAAGGCCCAACAAACACAUCAAUUCACAGGAGUUUAAAACAUAGGCAGCCCAAAUGAGAGACUCACACCUUACAAUGAAUUCAGGUGUCGGAAACUCAGAGAUUUCGAACACAAAAAUGCUUCGACCAAGACCCAAAGUAGCCACUCCGGAAAUGCGAAGAUGCACCUUAGAUGGUGCGACGAGAAAAAAAAUGCCUUGGUAGAGACUUGAACGGCAUUAGAAUAGAAAAGGAGAAGAGCCUACCGAAGACUCUGACGUCAAGGAACAGUGGUACAACUGCAGUUUUUGACCAUGAUGAACAAGGCACCAAUUACCGACGGCACUGGAACAAUAGGUAGAUGCCGAAAACAUGAGAAACUCAAGAGAACGACCACAGGUUUGAGAAAAGGCAAUUUAGGGCUCUGAUACCAUUAACACAAGGAAUGAGAGAUUUCUUUUCAAUUAUUUUCUCUUAUUUUCUUACAUCUUUUCAUCUUACUUUAUAAUACAAUGAGGUAGAUAAAAAAGGUACAUAAUCUCCUAAUUAAAGAAAUAAACUCUUUCCUGUUAGAUUACUAUACAUACAACAAUUCCAUAAUUAUUAAACCAUAAUUACGGGAUUUCUACAGUUAUUAUAUAAAUUUUUUGUUGCUAUUAAAUCACACUACAAGUGAACCAUCUACAAAGAUGUUAAAAUGAUGAAAUGGAAUGCACACGUGUAAGCCAAUAUGAAAAUAUGUUGAGAUGCACUUGUACACAUGUAAAAGGAGACAUAAUAUUAGUCCAGCAAAAUACCAAAAAUACCCUUAUUCAAAAAUAAAUAAAUAAAUAAAUAAUAAUAAUAAUAAUAAAAAUAAUAAUAAUAAAGAAAGAAUUAUGCUGUUCAAGCAGAAGGAAAUGAACUCACUUUCUAAGUUACUCAAAUUCUCCCAAUUUGAUGUAGAAUUUGCAAAACCUUACUUUGCCAGCUGCCACCUGCUCAACACCUUGCCUGAUGUAGUUCUCCUUUCUCUUGCAACGCCUUGCAUAUCUUAUAUUAAUGGAUGUUUGCAUCUAAGUAGCAAGUUAUUUGCCGACCCAAAGCCUAAGCAAUUUUGUAAACCAAGCAAUCUUGCCAAGAACAGUGACAAAAACUGCUCGAAGCAUAAUUAUGCAGUCGUCAACUGAAUUUGUUGCUUUCUGGUGUGAGUAAUAAGGCUAGGGAAUUGAUUACUCUGUUACAAAGGCCUAAAAGAAGGCAAAGCUUUUGAAGACCUUUGGUGCCUUGACAUAAAAAAUUCAUCCAUUUGAGGAUUCAUCACUAAACCAUGAGCCUUAUUGUGCCUUGCUGUCAUCUAGAGAAAGGAGCUAAAGAUGUUUAAUAUAAUUCUGCUUUGGACUUUUAUUCUUAAGUGUCUUGAAAAUUCCCAACCAAGUUACUGGAUAUGGAUGACAAUGAUAUGGUGACAUUUAACACUGUAUGGUAUGUCUCCUAACUUUUACCUCGGAACAUCAAAUCCAUACUUAUGUGUAUUGGAUGAAUGAAAGCAUAAAAAAUUAAUGCUGACAACAGUCCUCGUCAUAAUUUCGAAAACCAAGUUGAUUUUACUUCAUUGUUGCUUUGCAAUUCCAAAUUUCUUUUAAGCAAAUUAAACAUAAGUCCAACUCGGAAUAGAUGCGGAAAUGAGGUGUAUUGGUGUCCUAGCAGAUGGUCAUAGAGAGAAUGCUCAUCUAGGACAAUAUCUAGUCAACAACUCUUGACUGACUAAAGGUGUUUAGCAUUUCGUUUGAAAAGCAUAUUAGGAUCCUUUGUUUUUUCAUUUCCUAGAGUUAGGGGGUGGAUUUGUAAUUCCAUGUAUUUUACAAAAGUAUUAAUUUCCUUUGCACAUGUAUAGUCAACACCUUGUUAGAUAUUCAUGAUAGAUGCCAUGUUUAUGUGUGUUCAAUUAGUUAAUAGUCUUUUAGAUGACUCGUCGAAGACGUGACAUAAUUGGAAGAAAAUGUUCACAUGUUAAUCAAAUUGAUACAAACUGCUGCUUCAUAAUUGAAAAGGCCUUUAAAGUUUGCUCUUUUUGAAAGUCUUCUCUUUUUCCAAAGCAGAAUUUGUGAUCUAGUUUUUUAGAUUUAUAAUAGUUCAUUAUAUUUUGUUAGAAUUUCUCUCCCUCCGACAUGGUGUGUUGGGGCUCGCUAUUCCUUUGCAUUCAUGAUGAAGGGACUGUAGUUGCGUCUACGUGUUAUUAUACUUUGUAAUCUUUAGGAUAAGCUAGUGCAUACAGUUUACAGUGACCAUGUCCACACUACAGAGCCAUUAGAAAACUUAUCCACAUAAAUUCAAGAUAUCAACAAGUGAUUUUAUCAAUGUAUGGAGAUUUUUCUAAGGAUUGUAGUGAUGUUUUUAUUUGGAGGCUUGUGGUGC